rnacentral:rRNA from 1 species
GACGAACGCUGGCGGCGUGCUUAACACAUGCAAGUCGAACGGAAAUGCCCUGCUUUUGUGGGGUGCUCGAGUGGCGAACGGGUGAGUAACACGUGAGUAACCUGCCCUUGACUUUGGGAUAACUUCAGGAAACUGGGGCUAAUACCGGAUAGGAGCUCCUGCUGCAUGGUGGGGGUUGGAAAGUUUCGGCGGUUGGGGAUGGACUCGCGGCUUAUCAGCUUGUUGGUGGGGUAGUGGCUUACCAAGGCUUUGACGGGUAGCCGGCCUGGGAGGGUGACCGGCCACAUUGGGACUGAGAUACGGCCCAGACUCCUACGGGAGGCAGCAGUGGGGAAUAUUGCACAAUGGGCGGAAGCCUGAUGCAGCAACGCCGCGUGUGGGAUGACGGCCUUCGGGUUGUAAACCGCUUUCGCCUGUGACGAAGCGUGAGUGACGGUAAUGGGUAAAGAAGCACCGGCUAACUACGUG